CUCGCAUUUCAAGAGGCAGGAGGAGAGGGAAAGGCUGGGGCUGAGAUUAUGGCGGGCUAGAGAUGAAGGUCACUGAGAAUGUUACACGUACCAAUUGAAAUUAAGCAUGAUAAACUAGAUCUCCACAAAAGCAGCCCGAAGUGGACAGACACCACACAUCCAGCGCUGGAACAUCAUGGCUAUUGUUAAAUGCAGUAUCAGUGCACUCCGCUUUGGUGCUUUCCAAGACGAGUCUGCAAGUUAGUUCUGUGAGGAAGCAUACGAGAUCUUCUUCUCAAGGAAUCAGGAGACUCAUCUGUUCCCAGAAAUGGACUGCUAACUAAAAGUUUCUCGCUGCUGACUUGCCCACAGAGAUGCAAAAGAGACAGGAGAGCUAUCGUGGUUGAUUCAUUAGAGAUCUCCUUGCCGAUGACCUGAAACAACACAUGCAACUCCAGCGAGAAGAGGAGAGAGGGAGGCAUGUACACUACCAUGUCUAUGUCGGAUGAGGUCUCUUGCAAGUGCUCAUCAUGUUCUCUUCCUCCUCACAUAAAACAAAUGCAUGCCUACUUACUGCCAUGUCGUUGCAUCCUUUUUCCCUUUGGCUAAAACACAUGCGUGGUGUUUCUGAUAGCAGAAAGGCGACCAGCUCAGCUGUGGUUUCUGGAAAGAACAUAUGUUUGCUUGCUGACUGACAACUUUGUUGUCCUUCAAGAGCACCAGGUGGAUGUAGUAAGUCUUGAAAGGACACGUAAUCCACCCACAUUGAUGUGCUAUUAGGUUAACUUAGUGUUUUUAUUUUGAUACUGAAAUUAAAUUUCA